CUCAUUCUUUCAAUUCUAAAGAUGGAGACUGGCGAACGGCGAUGGGGUCUGCGGUGGGCGGUGUUUCGUCGCGACAGACUCUAGGAAAUUUCACGAUAGAACUAGCUUUAGGCGCUUGAGCCUUGCCGUCUUUUUGGGGUGUGGCCUGUCUCCGUCUGCCAAAGGCUUUGAGCUUCCUGGUGUUCAUCGUACCUCCGCUUGGUCCUGUCGUGACUAAACCACGACAGCAGGAAAAAAAAAAAAGCAGCUAGCCAAGUUGCUGAGGAAUUACGGUGUGCAGAGCCCUCGCAGCUCCUUCUCUUGGGAACUCCUGGUCUGGUUAGGUUCUCAGCGAGGAAACAGCCUCCCACCCCGCCCGAUUCCACCUAAUUAACUCAAGGGCCAGCUCCUUUUGCUGGCCUCCCUGCUUCCACGGAGCAGUUAGGCCCGCCUAAACUCAGCGAGCGUUUCUGGAGCACCUUGAGGAUAGGGACCAAGUAACAGAGUCCGGGUGUUAAGGUUAUGAUAGUAGUUAACGUUUUUGGAAAGAGACUGUGUCAGGCUCUGUGCUAAGAACUUUACAUGAAGUAUUUAUUCCUCAUGACUGUGAGUCCAUUGCAUUAUUUGCUGUCUGAAAUGCCACCCUUCAAGGGCUUUGAGGAGAUAUGAAAAACAUGGUAGUAUAUACCAGCCCAAGGAAGAUAAAAGUAAGACCCGAGAAAAUACUUUUCAACAAGACCAAAAUUUAGGCCAUGGAGGGGGACUUUCAAUCUGGAAUGAUCGAGCUUUAAGGAAGACAAGUACAUGAGCUCCUCUAGGACACUGAAAAAGCAUCCUAACAUGCUCAAGACAGGAUAGGAAAUGGUCCUCUGGCUUGAAAGACUCAGCAUCCAGAAGUAGUACCUCACUCUCCAUCCAGUGGUCACCCCCCAGAAAUGUGCUCUCCCUGUCUCACCAGGCCCUACCCACCUGCCUGGGAGCUGCCUGCCUCUUGAUGUGCUGACACCUGCUCCUGCUGCUGCUGCUGCUGCUGCUGCUGUUGCUGCUGCUGCUGCUGUUGCCGUUCUCUCAAGGGCUGGCGGAACUGAGCAGCCCCCAGGACAACAUUCCGGAGCUUGGCCCAGCGCAGACGCCCACCUGGUGUGCCAGACGGCCACUUGCUUUCCAACACAGCCUACCAAGCACAGUGCCCAUCAGGAUGGCCUACCUCGACACCCUAACCCUGCCUCAUACCCACUCCCUGUCUUGGAGCCCCAGGGACCGCCCUUCCCCUGCAGACAUCCUGUCUAGGACUGUCCGGCCAAUGGCUCAGCCAGGAACAAGAGCCCAGAAGAGACAGUAGGCAGCAGCUGCCUCCCAAGGGGCCUAGAAGAACCCAGAGGCAGUGGAGAAAAUUUGUACCCAGACCUUGCUGCUUAGAAAUAUAAAAUAUAUGGCUCUGAAGAAAUCA